CAGCAUCCCCUGGUUCUCGGGCUCUGUGACAUCACAGACAGUCCCAUCUCUGCUCUGCCAGCUGCAGGUGCGAGGGGCUCCGAGGCUGGACCUGAGAGCAGGAAGAGUUCUUUCCUGUAUUUAAAGGGACAACAUCUCCAUCACUCCUGGGCACCUAUGCACUUUGCUCCGGAAGCAGACGCCAUUACUCUUCCCAUGACCCCACUGUUUCUCUCUCUGGGUCCCAGCCUCCCCGCCCGUGUUGAAUGGCCGCUAAGGGCUCCUCCAGCUCUAGGGGUCUUCCUCUCUGCCCUCACUGAUCUUUCUCCUUCCGGUUGAAGUGCUGUGGGGUCAUGGGAGACCUGAAGUUCACAACCCACUGGGGGCAAACCGAGGGCCCUUUUCUUUAGCUCCUGCUUCCAUCUAGAGGACGUCAUUGGUAGUGCAAGGAACACCACACCCACCCUACCCCAGCCAGCACUUCUCCUGGGAAGACAAAGCCCAUGCGGAUAAACUCUAGGAUGUGUUGGAAUGCGCCAAGGGCUCUGCAGAAGAAAGAACUGGGAAUGCCAGGGGAGGGGGAGGGCCAUGUAAAUAGGGUAAAUAAUUCAGGUGACUUGGCCAGAAGACCACACUAGAAAGAUGACCUUUAAGCACAGGCUUGAAGGAGGAAGGGGUGAGCUUGCGGAUCUCUAAGGAAGGGCGUUGUAGGCCAGAGGUGGAGCAUGGAGCAUGUGCAAAGGCAGUCGUGGUGGGGUGCUGAGUGCAGCUGGAUGAAGGAAGGAUGGGAGUAGACUGCAGGGGAGGACGGGGCGAAGGUAGCAGUGAGACUGAAUUUUUGAGGAACAUCCCAGAGAAGGACUUCAGCUUUUCUUCUGCCUGACACUAGAAGCCAAGGAGCAGAGGGGUGACACGAUCGGACUUACACUCUCAGCUGUGUUGACACUAAUGGAGACUGGGCUGGGAGGAGCCAGGAGGCCGUUGCAAUAAUCCAGGUUACAGAGCCAGACACCACAGUGCCCUGUCCUUUUCCCACCGUCCACCAAAGCAUGGUGUCAAGGAUCUUCUGUUGCUGCUGCCCCGACGAGGGGGCUUCCACCAUGGGUAGCUCCCACAGUCAAAAUGCCUGCCAACAGCGUCACCCACGGACUUUCGAUCUGAAUGCAGAUCCUCAAAGAAAUAAUAUGUCAGUGAGAUACCAAGGUCGUCAUCACCAUCACUUCCACAGUUCUGUGCUGAGGAAGUGUGUUCCUGGGAGACCCUGAUUUGUAUAGAUGGCAGCUCCCUGCACGUGUGUGAGGCUGCACGGCUACUAGAGUGUCUCCCGGAGGAAGAGGGUGGUGAACAGGGACCAUGAAGACUGAUUCAGAAACUCUCCCAGAGGAGGAGGAGACGUCUGAGCCAUCCCUGUGCCACCAGCAAGAGUCGCCUCAGCUCCUGGAAAAACCACUAGGAGCUGCCUCCAAUUAAAGUCCUCAGUUGCAUCAUA